ensembl:lincRNA
AAGCCAGUGGCUAGGCUCAGACUCAAGGCUUUGAAUAGACUUCACUUUUUGAUGAGUGAAGUGUCAACUAUUUUUUGGCACAUUUUAUUUUUCAGUCUGCCACAGAUUGUAAAUUCUAUCUUAUAUAUUUAUGCUUUUCCAGAUAUUUAGUUACAUCUUUGCAAAAUCAACAUGUCUAUCCAUCCAUCUACCCAUCUUAGCAUAAUUCUAUCUCAUAGUGUUUCUGUAAGACUGAGGAUCCAUCCAUUGUUUUGUUUGUUUUGUUGUUUUCCAGGUCCUGACUGUAAUGGUAAGAGAAGAUAUACCAUGUAAUUGAAAAAUUCCCUACAAUGGUCCCCCGGAGUAUGGUCUUUUAUGACUGUGCAAGUACAUCUGUCUCUCAAGCAUAACAUAUACCACCAUCUGGAUUAAAAUUGAAAAGAAAUCAAUGAUUUGGAGAGCUUCGGAUAACUUUAGUGUUGAAUAAACUAACAGUAUGGAUGGUUGGCUGAUUUGAAUUUCUUUUUAUUUGGGUAUUUUGGGACCAUGCAGAUAUACCACUUGAAGCUACAGGUGCAGCCUGGGUUGAUAGUUGAGCUACAUGGCCUAUCAGUCAAUGGCUUUCAAAGUUUCUACCCAAAAGUAACACAUGUGACAUCACAUUUCACUGGCCAAAACGUCACGUGCCCCACCUAACAAAAUGAGGUGCAAAGUUCAAUCCUACUAUGUUCCCUGAAGAAGAAGAGCACAGAACAUUCUGAAAAUGUUUUUAUGACAUAUUUUUAAAAAUAUGUCAAGGAAACAGAAAAGUGAGCAUUUUUAAUACCAUGCCAGUCUGAGGAAACUUUAUGAAAUCCAUUGAACUUCUAGUAAAACUUUUUUUUUUUCCCUUUUUGAUCUUCCCUACAGGUAAAAGGAUUCAACAUUGUUUAUCUAUAACCAAGUAUUUUCUUGAAGGUUUCAUAUUGAUAGAUUUAUAAUCAUUUAAACUCUAUGCAAAUUUGAAUAGAUUAGAAAAUCUAAUGUUUAACUCUUAAAAUGCUCUCCUCAAGUUCUCCAGUUCCUUUAUUUUCCUCUCUGAAAUUAGCAUUAAAAACAAGUCUAGGAGAGAAGUAAAGCCUGCACUAGUCUAAGCUAGUCCAGCUCUUUAAGCUCCUCAGUUCUUACUGUUCUGUGAUAAGACAUUAUUAUUUAAAAUAGGUUUCCUUCACCCACAUUUACUGUUCACUUACUUAUUUAUUAGCUAGCCUAUGUACUUAUUUGUUAAUUUAUUAAGAGGAAGCUGUCGAGGCAAACCUUGGGUUAGUGUAACACAUUUCUGAGUAAAUCUCUGGUGGAAAAAACUUCUCCUUAUAGAUUUGAGUGUCAGAAAGAUGAACAUUCUGAUCACAACUUACUACUUUCUAGCUUUGUGACCUAAGCACCUUCCUGAACCUUCCUCAAAUUCAUUUUCAAUUCUGAAAAAUGAAGGUAAACCCUCCUGGGUGGUGCAGGAAAAGUGACAAGGAGAGUGACUGGCCAGGGAAGAUGCCCAUCUCUAUCUGAGAUAUGUAGGUUUACAGUCAGGGUGUCGCCAGCAUUACUUGGUUGAAAACCAACUUUAACUUGAGUGUUGACCUGAGUGAGGACACUUAGCAAUCAGGAAAUAAAGUUCUGAAAAGGAUUCUCAAAAAACUAACUCCAGUUCGAGUAGCCCACAAGCAGGUGGGAGAUAGCCCCAGCAUUGAUGUUCGUCAGCAUUUAUUUCAGUACUUGCCUUUACAUUCCUCUCCACAUUCCUAACUUUCACCCCUGAUGCCUUUGAAAGUGUGAGGACCAUGGCUUCUUGUUCGCUUCCCAUUUCUGCUCUUUAGAAUAGGUCUGGCCUGUGAGGGGACUGAAUCUUGUGUCUCCCGCCUCUACCAUCAAAGUUCGUAUAUUGAAAUAUUAGCUCCCAAAGAGAGGGUAUUUGGAGAUGGGGCAUUUGAAAUGUAAUUAGACCUUGGAGGUGGAGCCCUCAUGAUGAGAUUAGUACCCUUAUGGGAAGAGACAAGAGAGAGCUUUUUUAGAGGCAGUUGUUCAUAAGCCAGGAAACAGGACCUUCUUGGGCACCAGGCCUGCAGGCCCCUUGAUCUUGGACUCCCCAGCCUCCAGACUGGGAGUGAUAAGUGUUUGUUGUUUAAGCCACAUAGUCUAUGGCAUUUUUUUGUUAUAGCAGCCAAAAUUGGCUAAUACAUACCCUAAAUCUCAGAUUCUAAAAUAUGGCAAGGAAUUUCUUGCAUAUCAACUUUGUUUAGUGUGAGCCCCCACUGAGUCCAGUUACCAGGCAACCAAUUCAGAAAGCAAAGCAGUUGUAAUCAUGUCAAGCAGCUUGGGUAAGCACAUUGCAUGCAGAUGAUGGUACAUGUACCCGUUUUGGUUAAUUUUGGUCCAAUCUGUUCAUGAUUUUUCUUACUUCAUGAAACUCCCUUUGAAUCUAUUGCAUGCAUUUUCCCCAGGUUUCUGCCAAUUAAAAAAAAUUGCCUUUUUUUUUUAAAUCAUUUUAGCCUUUUUGUCCUGACUCACUCCUUGUAUUGGACCUCUAUUCACACAAUGGGAACCUUCUAGACCCAGAAGCAGUGAGGUGAUAAGCACUGGCCAUGAGGAGAAAUGGUAUUCCUUAUUCAUGAGUUACCUCAGGUGAGUUAUCUAAAGAUGGAAAUCUUUGGGAGGUAAUUAGGCUAUAGAGUGAAGCCCUCUUGAUAGAAUUAGUGCCCUCAUAAGAAGAAACAAGAUUGUGCUCCCUUUUCCUCCCUCUCUCUUUCUCCCCACCCUGAGAGAAUAUACCAAGAUGGAGGCCAUUGAUAAGCCAGAGAGCUGCUCUCCCCAGACACUAUAUCUGCUGGAGCCUUGAUCUUGGACUUCCCAGCCUUCAGAACUGUGAGAAAUUAAUGUUAAGCCACCAGCCUGUGUGUUAAGGCAACUGGACCUAACUUGGACAGCCUGUAGGGAGAAUCCACCUUAGUUUCUUCUAAAGGAGAUUCCUUAUAUCAAAUAUGAUUCCACAUUUGCUUCUCAUAUUAACAGAAUAGUAGUAGUAGUACUCAUCAUAAUAGUAGGUGUAGUCACAGAAGUAGUAGUUUUCAAAGAAAUGGUUAUGAAUUGAGAAAGAAGAAAACAAGCAAAAUAGGCUGCCUUAGACCCAAGUGGUAUAGGGUCCUUCCCAAUGCUCUGCACUUAUGUGGUGUUGAGCCUUGGUCCUAAUUAUGUAUGUCUCACAGGACAAGAAGUACAUGAGCACAAGAAGUACGUGAGCAUAAGGGGCCCUUUCUAGGCCACAGUGUGUUGCUUAGGGCUCUGUUAUGCCCCCAUCCAGUGUCCCUGGAUGCACUUCUAGUCCUCCACAGCCUCUUCCCCAGUUGGUCUAUUGAGGUCCCCAAGGAAUGGCCACUGUCAGGCUAUUUGGGGAAGCAAGUGUAUGGGAGUGGAUGGAGCCGGGACGCAGGGGCUGGAUGUUUGCACACAUGUACCUGAGGCUCUUUAUACUGAACAACAGAGCUGGUGAUGGGAAGAGAAGAGGUGAAGCCUAGGGGUCUCCAGUCAUACCUCAGGCCCUGCAAAUAUUAGAGGUGGGCCUCGUAGAAGUAGUAAUGAGAGAAACAGAAAGACAGACAGAGAUGCAAUAACCGCAUUUGUAAUUUCAGGUUCUUAUAAUUGCAUUCCUAUUUCUUAAGUAAAAGAAAGCCGAAGCUUCUGUGAAGAACUUGAUAGGGUCAGAUCAGGGAGCUCUCUGGUUUUAAUGUGCUCCGGUGUGAAGCAAGCACAAACAGGCA